GAACAUUGGCAAGCUACAAAGCAUGCCUGGGACGAUGUGACAGGUGAGGGGACCAGAGUCAGAGAGGUAGCAAGUUGGAGAACGGCAGCCUCCCUCAAGGACGUCUUGGACCACCAGGCGGCGGACGGACCACUCGGGCCCGUCUGAGGCGUCAGGAGGGACGGAAGGAAGAGCUGGAGCUGCUCCGUGGCUGCUCUUUCCCCCGGAACUGCCAGUUUUCUUUACAAGAACCAUUUCCUGACCAACUCCGUCUCUUCAGACGGGGGCGCUCAGCAGACUCGGUCUUGCAAAUGCACAAAAAGGAGACCCUGCGACUUCACGGAAGACGACGACGGUAUUUGCUGCCGAGGAUGAAACUGAGCGUUCAAAGGCCGAGAGCUCUGCCUUGAUGAGCCUGCUCCAUUGGCUGCUGGCGGUACCUAGAGACGUCUCGAUGCCAGCGGUGGCCUUAACGUGGUCUCUCAACGUCGGGCAGUGAGAGCUGCGAAUAGACGAGACCUACGCUCUCCAAGUGGCAAACGCAGGGUGCUGCAGCGGCGUGUUUAGGUGCAGCAGAUCCAGCCACAGAGUAGUGCAUCUGGGGGCGGCAGAUCCAGCCAGAGAGCAGCGGAUUUGGAUUUGGGUUUGGAUUUCGAUCCGCAGCAAGAUAACAAGGAGGCGUCGGCGAGCUCUCGCCAGGUCUGGCCCCCACAAUGUUUUCAAGAACAUUCUCUCAUUCUCCCCACAUCCCAACCCAAAACACCUGGAAGAUGCGCAACUUCGGGAGUCUUUCCAGAGAGCUGACGGUGCUCCGUGAUUACCAUCCAAGGGUCCCGAAGAAAAGGGUGCCCUGUCUUCCCCCAACCCCGUCACUCUUGGCACAACAUAAAUUUGUAUUUACGUUAAUACAGGGGCAAAGGCUGGGGCAGAGAUGCAAGCUAAGUGAGGAAAGCUUUGCAAAAUGCUCUGAAUUGUCCACCUACGGUUUUUGCUUUGACCAAAAGUGUCCCUGCAUGAAGUAUGGACAAGCCACAGAACAAAUAAGGAACAAGAUAUGGGACCAGAUGGAGCCAGCAUUCUUUCAUAACACAUGGAACGAUAUUUCUUGUGAAACAGGACUUAGAAAAAUAAAACAUGAAACUGGGACAUGUAAACAACUUGCACAGGCUCGGGAACUUCAUCAAAGUACAACCUCUCACUUUCGGUGAAAAGACGUAUAAAAAGAAACGUAAUGCCUGAACUAAUUAUUUUUUCCAGGGAAGAAAUUACUCGGCUUGAGGGUUUUUUCCUGCAGUGAUUCGCUGGGUGACGCGUGACAGGACGAUCCAAUUCAACAGUCUUUUACGUGUCCAAACACGCAGCCUUUCCAAGUUCACUAUCUCUGUGUCCUGUGAUUACGCUAAGAAGCAGUGAUUGCAAAUUCAGUGUCAGAAUUGGGAAGAGAUGAGUCCAGGAGCAAUCUGCCGUGUUUGCCUUAUAUACAUUAAGUCGCAUACAUUGCGAUGGUAAAUAGGGCUGCCUCUGUUGUUUUAAUGCUUCCCUGUGAAAAAUCUGGUUUGAUUGGCAUGAACGUUAUUAGGUAAAACAGACUGAAGCUGCAAUGCCAAUAUUUUUGUGACUCUUUUGCAAUCGGCGUUAAUCAAUGAGAUGGGGCUGUAAUUGCUGCAAUUUCCCAUACAGCUCUCUCUUCCCGGCUCCAGCAUCACAGAUAUAAUAGCGCUCCUAAGAGUUCCUGACAAUUUGCUAUUCACAGUAUGUUUAAAAUGCUGUAUUAAACAUACUACAUAAAAUUGCAUCCCGACAUCCCCCCCCCCUUUUUUUUUUCAAACUCGAGGAAUCCAUCAGGUCCCAGGGUGUCAGUGCAUAAAGAACCAGGCUCUUGGGGUUCUUCCUCCAAGCUCCCUAGAUGAAUCUCUCCUUAAAAGCCAUGCUGGAAUUUUGGUCUCACAGCCUCAUAACAUUUCAUGAAUUCAACUUCACUUUGGAAAUUUUUCAGUCACUUUGGUGACAUUGACAAUUUUCCAUUUCAUUAUAAUGCCAUAAAAUUCAAGCACCUGCUUUGCUUUUCAAAAUGUAAAUCUACUGAAAAAUCGGAGAAAAAGCAGGUGUUCUACCUUAAUUGGCAGAAUUGAGUCUCCUACCCGAAAACAAGGAUCCAGAUCAAAACAGAGGCUCCACCAAAGCACCGCCCAGCACCCAGGCUCACCGUGGGUGACCAGCCAGAUGUUCCUUCAGAAGAUUUUCUAAACCCAAGUAACAACUGGGUGAGGGAAGGAUCAGAAAUGAAACUCAAAUAACCCUUGCACGCCUAAAAAAAAAUGAAUUCAGUUAAAAAAAAAAUCUAAAUGGAGAGAUUUCCAAACUGUUGUUUCCAUUCACUCCCAUCUAAGAUGCUUAGUGAACAGCGGUGCUGAAAUACACCAGUUUUGGAAUCAUAUGCAGAAAUUCUAUUCCAUGGAGGAAAUUACUUCCAGGAAAAUUUAAUUGUGCUUUUAAGUUUUUUUUUUCUUCCUCCCUUUAAAUUCACAGAAGAAUCUGUUCAACUUUAAGAACACUUUUCCUAUCCUAAUUCACCGGCAAUCUCUUCCUGCAAAUGUCAGUGCUAUUCAGCCUGAUUAACUCCAGCACUUUCAUCUUCAGUGAUGCUCGACUCUCAAGCUGCCAAACAAAGAUCCUUCUAUUUCAUUAUUCAAAAUAUUAAGUGAAGCUCAAAAGCCACAAUGAUAGACUUUGGGGUAAAGAAAUAUUGCCCUGUCUGUCAAAAAAGCUGCAAGUUAUUUCAUUACAUCAAAUAGUACUUGGGGCACCUAAACCAUCAAGUCUCUAAGAACAGGAAGGGAACGGCUAAAUCAAACCCCAAUCAUCCGUUUUUAUCAACUGUGUGCUGCAUCCCCCACCCCCAUUUUACCAGAACUUUAAAAAAUAAUGUCAUUAACGACGCUAAUUUUAUUUCUCCAGCUGCUGCUCCUAUUUGGGUAGCUAAUGAAUAAACUUGGGAAAAUACUGACAAGACAGGAAGGAAUGGAAAUCUGUGUCUGAUUCACAAACUGUAAAAUUCAUACCUGAACAAUGUGAAAUGAAGCGUAAUUUUUUCUGACAUAAAAGCAUUUGUGCUUCUUAGCUCUGUAAGAGAAGAAUGUUUUGCUGUUUGUUACGCACAAGGAAGGAGCCAGAAAAGUCUGCAGUGUAGCGGAAUCAGCAUAGCAGCCAGGCACAGGUAUCAUCUUAGACACUCGGAAAUUUUCAGCCUUGAAUUUAACUUCUGUGUUUCAGUUUCAACCGGAAAAGGGAAAUGACAUCACAGCCCAAUUUACUGGGACACCCAGAAGUGCAACGUAUGUCCCCUGGGGGUGCACGGCACGUGGCAGUUGGUGCCACGGAGAAGCUGAGUCCGAUGCUCAGUGAGGCCACCCGGCCUCGUCCCAACGGAAGCGGAGAAUGUGCAUGCUGUCUAGACUCUCCUCUUACAACAGGAUCUUACGGGCCUCGACUUCAAACGCGGCAGUAACCUGACCCUGCACUGCCAACACUGCACAUUCCCCGACUGCAUCUCUGAAGAGACCCACCCAAGGAGAGGCUGUGCCUGGCGCUCUGGUGUCCCCCACUGGGCCUGAACCUGCCUCUUCGGACCUAGGAAAGUGAUCCCAGGUUCAGGUGCACAGUCGCCUACCGCCACCUCCUCCUGUCAGGCAGCCCCACCAGAGAGAACUGAGUUGGGCCCACCUGUGACAAAAGAAAGCCACCUGUCCCCCUCAGGUAUGCCGCCUGAGUGGACUGCACGACUUCAAAUCCCACGGUAUCUCUGGGAUGUGUCCACGAGCGGCAGGUGUGUAUCGCGGCGCCAUCAAUGGUACCUGGGCUGAUGGCCCUCAGCGAAGCUGGCGACGCCCCCCUGGGGACCUUUGGAGGUGGCCUGCUGGGGCCUCGGCGAUGCAGAGCGGGGAGCGCCAGCCCCGGCAUCCUCGGAGCCCCGCCUGGGGAGAGCCGCCCCAUCCUUGCCUGACUUUCCAACCCUCCGUGGACGUUGGCAAAAAUGUCCCUCUGCUUAUAAGGCGCCCAUCACGGGGGCAGGGCCGCCCGACCCCAGCACGGCCUCACCUCGCCUAACUGCAUCCGCAAAGGUGCGACUUCCAAGGUCACACGAGGACGCCUUGGACGCGAAUAGGGGACGGGCACUGUUCACCCCAGUGCAGGCAGAGGAGGGCCAGCCCCCCGCCCUUUGGAAGCAGCAGGGACGUGCUGGUCCCCAAGAGCCGGAACCACCCACCUGCGCCGAGCGCCCUCCGCGCAGCCCCCUCUCUUGGGCACCUGCUCCCGCGGCGCCUUCCCUGGUUUACCAACUGCUAUUGUUUAACUAAGUGCCAGAAUCAUGAGCGGCUUGGAAAACAACAGUAUAGACAUUUGUUUUCAUGCCAAAAAAAAACCCCCAAACAAACAAAAAAACUUGGAGGCACUGAGUGGCACAGGCAGAAGGUGUUUGUUUGGGUUUGGUGAUAGGGUCACCUCUGCUGAGUACGUGAGACGUCUUUGCCUGUCGUGAUGCUGAGGCUCGGUCAGGUCUGGAAGCCUGGAGAGAGGAUUCCUGUUGUCACGGUGCCAUGCCCCUGCCUUUACCACCUGGCCCUGCGAACAUCCGUCUACCCGCACCCAGGCCAAGAGGGACACGUGGGACCUUCACUCGGGUGGGAAGGACAGUGACUGCGGUCUGGCCGCCCCCGGGAGAGGAAGGUCAAGGGGCAGAAACGCCCCGUGAAUGCCGUUCACAGUUCACUUCGUUACAUGGAAUGCGGCGACAGUUCAAUCCACGGAUUAAAGUGUGCCGGCGGCUUGCGAGAAUCAUCUUUAGCGCAUUCUGUAAAUCAUUGUAUUUCCCAGUCUGGCACGUGAACCAUAAAUAAUCCUAUCAUUUAUUAAUUACAUUUCCUAACCUAGUCAAGAAAAAUCCUGCUGUGUGGAGCAGCGGAUCAUGAAUAAAUGGUUCAUUGAAA
rnacentral:lncRNA from 1 species